UACGUAGGGUGCGAGCGUUAAUCGGAAUUACUGGGCGUAAAGCGUGCGCAGGCGGCUUUGCAAGACAGAUGUGAAAUCCCCGGACUCAACCUGGGAACUGCAUUUGUGACUGCAAGGCUAGAGUACGGCAGAGGGGGAUGGAAUUCCGCGUGUAGCAGUGAAAUGCGUAGAUAUGCGGAGGAACACCAAUGGCGAAGGCAAUCCCCUGGGCCUGUACUGACGCUCAUGCACGAAAGCGUGGGGAGCAAACAGG
rnacentral:rRNA from 1 species